ACGCUGGCGGCACGCCUAACACAUGCAAGUCGAACGAAGUAGCAAUACUUAGUGGCAGACGGGUGAGUAACAUGUAGGUAUCUGCCCUUUGGCCUGGAAUAACACGAGGAAACUUGUGCUAAUACCGGAUAAGUCUUUACGGAGAAAGCUUUAUGCACCAUUGGAUGAGCCUGCACUUGAUUAGUUUGUUGGUGGGGUAAUGGCCUACCAAGACUGUGAUCAAUAGCUGAUUUGAGAGGAUGAUCAGCCACAUUGGGACUGAGACACGGCCCAAACUCCUACGGGAGGCAGCAGUGGGGAAUCUUGCACAAUGGAGGAAACUCUGAUGCAGCGAUGCCGCGUGAGUGAAGAAGGCCCUUGGGUUGUAAAGCUCUUUCGUCGGGGAAGAAAAUGACUGUACCCGAAUAAGAAGGUCCGGCUAACUUCGUGCCAGCAGCCGCGGUAAUACGAAGGGACCUAGCGUAGUUCGGAAUUACUGGGCUUAAAGAGUUCGUAGGUGGUUGAAAAAGUUAGUGGUGAAAUCCCAGAGCUUAACUCUGGAACUGCCAUUAAAACUUUUCAGCUAGAGUAUGAUAGAGGAAAGCAGAAUUUCUAGUGUAGAGGUGAAAUUCGUAGAUAUUAGAAAGAAUACCAAUUGCGAAGGCAGCUUUCUGGAUCAUUACUGACACUGAGGAACGAAAGCAUGGGUAGCGAAGAGGAUUAGAUACCCUCGUAGUCCAUGCCGUAAACGAUGUGUGUUAGACGUUGGAAAUUUAUUUUCAGUGUCGCAGGGAAACCGAUAAACACACCGCCUGGGGAGUACGACCGCAAGGUUAAAACUCAAAUGAAUUGACGGGGACCCGCACAAGUAGUGGGGCAUGUGGUUUAAUUCGAAGAUACGCGCAGAACCUUACCAACACUUGACAUGUUCGUCGCGACUCUAAGAGAUUAGAGUUUUCGGUUCGGCCGGACGAAACACAGGUGCUGCAUGGCUGUCGUCAGCUCGUGUCGUGAGAUGUUGGGUUAAGUCCCGCAACGAGCGCAACCCUCACUUUUAGUUGCCAUCAUUAAGUUGGGCACUCUGAAAGAACUGCCAGUGAUAAGCUGGAGGAAGGUGGGGAUGACGUCAAGUCCUCAUGGCCCUUACGUGUUGGGCUACACACGUGCUACAAUGGUAUCUACAACAGGAAGCAAGACUGCGAAGUUAAGCAAAUCCCUAAAAGAUACCUCAGUUCGGAUUGCACUCUGCAACUCGAGUGCAUGAAGCUGGAAUUACUAGUAAUCGUGGAUCAGCGUGCCACGGUGAAUGCGUUCCCGGGUCUUGCACACACCGCC
rnacentral:rRNA from 1 species